rnacentral:rRNA from 1 species
GACGAACGCUGGCGGCGCGCCUAACACAUGCAAGUCGAACGAGCGAGAGGAGGUUUACUUUCUCAAGCGAGUGGCGAACGGGUGAGUAACGCGUGAGGAACCUGCCUCAAAGAGGGGGACAACAGUUGGAAACGACUGCUAAUACCGCAUAAGCCCACGACCCGGCAUCGGGUAGAGGGAAAAGGAGCAAUCCGCUUUGAGAUGGCCUCGCGUCCGAUUAGCUAGUUGGUGAGGUAAUGGCCCACCGAGGCGACGAUCGGUAGCCGGACUGAGAGGUUGAACGGCCACAUUGGGACUGAGACACGGCCCAGACUCCUACGGGAGGCAGCAGUGGGGAAUAUUGCACAAUGGGGGAAACCCUGAUGCAGCGACGCCGCGUGGAGGAAGAAGGUCUUCGGAUUGUAAACUCCUGUUGUUGAGGAAGAUAAUGACGGUACUCAACAAGGAAGUGACGGCUAACUACGU